UGGAAAACUUUAGAACUAUACUUCGUUUUUUCCCCUAAACCAAAUCAUAAGAGAAUAGAGUUCCAGGAUUUGUUUUUCUUUCCCUCCUAUUUUCCUUUGUACCAAACAGGAUAUUUUCCUUUUUGUUCUGUGAGGUCUGGGCUGGCCUGAAUCUCAAAACAGAAAACCAAUUCGAUGUUUUGGGCUGGGCUGUAAAUUGAUUACAAAAACGUUAGCCAAGGCAAGCCGAAGUUGCUGGCGAUAGCGCAGAGAAUUGAGGAAGUGAAAGGAAGGAGGAGAGAGAUGGCGGCGUCGUUUAGGUGGUUACUCCAACUCCACAAGGACGUUCCCAAGGCGGCAAGGUUCUAUUCACAAGGGCUUGACUUCUCCGUCAGCAUCUGCACGCUUCGAUGGGCCGAGCUUCAGUCUGGUCCUCUCAAGCUUGCUCUCAUGCAGUCUCCCUGUGAUAAUGUGAUUUAUAAUGGUUACUCUUCACUUUUAUCAUUCACGGUCAAUGACAUUAACAGUACAGUAACAAAAUUAAUGGCAUUAGGAGCUGAACUAGAUGGUCCCAUCAAAUAUGAAAUCCAUGGCAAGGUUGCCGCCUUGCGAUGCAUUGAUGGUCACAUGAUAGGCCUCUAUGAACCAGCAUAAAAAUGCUCUAGAGACAAGUCCCUUCAGCACAGUUGGCCAAAUCAUGGUUUAAGUCUUUUGAAGAUGUAGAGAAGACAUGAGAAACUUUACCCUUCUUUGGAUUUCCUUCAAUUAUUGUAAGUGUUUUUUCAUCCAAAUCAAUGACAGCCGGGCAUAGUGUAUAAAGAGUUGGACCUGAAAAUAAUACCAAUAGGGAAUGUCAUCCUUGGCUCGCAACAAUGGUGGUUGUGAGGUAUCUUGCCCUGUGGCAGAUUCCUUCUCUUCGAUCUAUUUUUUGCUUGGUGAACAUGAAGGUGGAGAUACAUGUUCGCACAGAAAAUGGUGCUGCUCCAUCAUCAUGAGCUGAAACUUGGGAUCUUGAUGCAGUUUCAACAUUCAAAUCAUAUGCUUCUGUAUAUCCAUUAAAUUGUAACUGUGCCCGCAGAAACUUCUGAUGAAUGUAUUCUCUGAGGUUAAUCCGGCUAUCAAUACCUUAAAUUAUCAAGCUGAUCUUAAAUUUCAUUAGAUACAAGAAGCGAACACUUGAGGGUCUUACAGCUAAUGCAUCUCCAAUGCUAGUUGCUUCGAGAAGGUCUCUAGAGACGAAAUUCCUUCCAAUGCCAGCUGGUAGAAUCCCAUCUUCAGUUGGGGGCACUGAAUUCAGUGUGAAUGCCUAAGGUAUGUCUGAAGAAAAUAUUAGUUUUCAUUUAAAAUAUACUCCUUUAAAAGAUAUCUAGUAAUUGUGAAGUGAAAAUCAAGUUAGUCCUUUUCUUUGGGGGGUUACAAACAAUCAUUGUUGCUUCCUUUCUUCAAUCAUCUUAAUAUUUCGAUAUGGCCACAGAUUUGAACUGGUCAGGUUUAUAUUCUGGACUCGUGUUUUUCCUAACACUUUUUAGUGUACGAUAGCCCAGCACAGAUUUAUGAUGCAUGAAAGAGAUUUUACCAGUCCAUAACUGUUAAAUCCAAAAGCACAGCUUGGAAGCUCUCCUGCAUAUGUAUAAAGAUACAAAGGAUAACCCAUUUGACAGUUUCCCCUUAAUCAAAUAGUUGCAAACCCAGUAUAAACAUGGUACAUUUAUUGACUAUUUAUUUAUUUUAUUGUACAUCAGAACAGUCGUCUCUAGUAUCAGCAUUUGAAUUCAUUACUGUAUUUGAAAUGAAUGGAAGUAUCUCCUUUCUGAAGUUGAUAAGUAUUAUCUGCACAUGAAAGACUAGAAGGUGACUGAUUCAAUGGAGAUAUAUGAUGAAAUUAACAGUCUGUGCGCACUACAUCAAGAACAGGCACGCCGCUUCCUUCUGCAGUCCCUCAAAGUUCAGCCGAAUAUCUUCGGAAACUCUUCGGGUUAGUUUCUGAGAGUGCUUUGAUUAGUGGUUGUGCCUGUGGUGUUCGUGCAAAAGGCAGGAGCUGGUUUGAAGAAUGAGGUCUCCAGCCAACCUGCUUCUUAUUUGAUUACCGAACCUUUGACAUAUCAGAAAACCCAGCUGGUAGUCAUCUUCACAAGGCCCAACUUCAAACAUCUCCAUCAUUUUCCCUUCCAUGCUCGAGUUCCCAAACCCUGCGGCUUAAGUCAUUUACAACAAUAGUGCAUCUUAUCCUUUUUCCUAGGCAGAAUAUGGUUAUGCUCCAUUGUUCCGGUUACACUUUACAAGGACAUAAACCUUGAAAAUGACAUUAUUGGACCUUUUUCUUUUUUAGCUGCCCUCAUUGGUGGGCAGAUGCUAGUUGCGUUUGAAUAACAUCCAAGAUUUAAUCUGGCUCGUUCGGUUUUGAUUGAUUGGAACUUGGAAGGAGUGCAUACACAUCAGAAAAGCAUGGCCGUGCUGUGAAAUGAGAAAUGGUGUGGGCCUUGGGGGCUGGCUCUUCAGGCAAGGCACAUUAUUCUUAUGGAAGUUGUAGUUUGCAAAUAUCAAGUGUCUGGACCACUGCACCAGUUAUUACGUACACGUAGUACAUGAAAUUAAAAACUUCAAAUUGAAUCUUUUUUAAUUCUUUUUCUCCAUCAAUUCAUGUUUGAAUUUCUAAUGUGCACCAAGGUGAAUGCCUGUUUGAAUGUUGUCACGUCUAAUGCAUC